CCUAGUGAUCUUAUAUACAUUCCUAUAGUGUUGAAUUCCAUCAAAACUCUGCAGUUAAGCAUGCUUGGGAUGGAGUAGUGUUGAGGUGGGUGACCUCCUAGGAAUUUCUAGUGUUUUACAUGCC
rnacentral:rRNA from 1 species